AAAUUGAAGAGUUUGAUCAUGGCUCAGAUUGAACGCUGGCGGCAGGCCUAACACAUGCAAGUCGAGCGGAAACGAGUUAUCAGAACCUUCGGGGAACGAUAACGGCGUCGAGCGGCGGACGGGUGAGUAAUGCCUAGGAAAUUGCCCUGAUGUGGGGGAUAACCAUUGGAAACGAUGGCUAAUACCGCAUGAUGCCUACGGGCCAAAGAGGGGGACCUUCGGGCCUCUCGCGUCAGGAUAUGCCUAGGUGGGAUUAGCUAGUUGGUGAGGUAAGGGCUCACCAAGGCGACGAUCCCUAGCUGGUCUGAGAGGAUGAUCAGCCACACUGGAACUGAGACACGGUCCAGACUCCUACGGGAGGCAGCAGUGGGGAAUAUUGCACAAUGGGCGCAAGCCUGAU
rnacentral:rRNA from 1 species